AUCAAGUGUUAGGCUAUUCAAUUAGAACUCUGGUAUUCUUUUGGAAGCAGUUGUGUUUGUAGAGGUAGACAGGGGAUUAUUGUUCACUCGUGGGACUUCUCUGUAGACGGAUUUUCAUCUCUUUUUCUUGUAGGAGUGAACUAUUUGUAAUUGGAACAAUUUUGUUCUGCCUAUAGCUUUCCUUAGAGUAUCACAGUAUCCCUGAAGCAGAAAGUUGAGCAUCCUUCAUUUUCCUGUUGAGUCAGCAUUCUUCUGCUAGCUAAAAGCAUGAGAAUAUUGGAAUGAAGAUUUCUCUUCUGUUUGUAGGAUAUUAUUUCUUUUCCUUGUUCACCCAGUGUAGUUUAAACUAUGUUUGUUUUAUUUCAUACCCUGGAUUAGGUUAUAUUGCACAAAAUCCUGAAACAAUGCAAAUUUGCGUUAGGUAGAUCCAUUGAUGGACUUCAAAUCUUUGGAUACAACAACAACAACAACAACAAAGCCUUUUCCCACUAAGUGGGGUCGGCUAUAUGAAUCCUAGAACGCCAUUGCGCUCGGUUUUGUGUCAUGUCCUCCGUUAGAUCCAAGUACUCUAAGUCUUUUCUUAGGGUCUCUUUCAAAGUUUUCCUAGGUCUUCCUCUACCCCUUCAGCCCCGAACCUCUGUUACGUAGUCACAUCUUCGAACCGGAGCGUCAGUAGGCCUUCUUUGCACAUGUCCAAACCACCGUAACCGAUUUUCUCUCAUCUUUCCUUCAACUUCGGCUACUCCUACUUUACCUCGGAUAUCCUCAUUCACAAUCUUCUCCUUUCUCGUGUGCCCACACAUCCCACGAAGCAUCCCACGAAGCAUCCUUAUCUCCGCUACACCCAUUUUGUGUACGUGUUGAUGCUUCACCGCCCAACAUUCUGUGCCAUACAACAUCGCUGGCCUUAUUGCCGUCCUAUAAAAUUUUCCCUUGAGCUUCAGUGACCUACGACGAUCACACAACACGCCGGAUGCACUCUUACACUUCAUCCAUCCAGCUUGUAUUCUAUGGUUGAGAUCUCCAUCUAAUUCUCCGUUCUCUUGCAAGAUAGAUCCUAGGUAGCGAAAAACGGUCGCUUUUUGUGAUCGUCGCUAGAUUGCUCCGGUCAUUAGUGUGGAUAAGUAUAUAAAUGGAUAGAGAUAGGAAAGCAAACACUAGAUGUACGUGGUUCACCCAUAUUGGCUACGUCCAUGAAAUAGAGGAGUUCUCAUUAAUUGUGAAGGAUUUACACAAGUACAUAGGUUCAAGCUCUCUUUUAGUGAGUACAAGUGAAUGAUUUAGUACAAAUGACAUUAGGAAAUAUUGUGGGAGAAUGAUCUCGUAAUCACGAAACUUCUAAGUUCUGGAGUGUGGUAUCGUCUUGACUUGCCUUAUCUGUCUCGUAGGUAGAUGUGACAUCUUCUCUGGAAGUACUCUUCCUCCAUCCAGGGGUGGUAUCUUUAACUGGUGGAGAUGCAUAAGGUAAUGUAUCAAUUUCACUUGAAGCUUACUUGUAGUUUCAGGCUUGGUCAAGCGCGAUACAAACCAUGUAGUAGGAGUCCUCCAAGUCGCCGAGCUAGGGGAUCUGCUGAAAGAGAUGACAGACAAGGUAAGCAAUCAGAGCUCCAAGCAAUCAGUCCCAGAUCAGAACUUUGAUUUCGAGUUUCGGCUGAUUGUUCACAUUCUCCCUAUCUUGCAGGCAGCAUGAAGGAUAAAGAGAAGAAAAAUGAGAAGAGAUGAUAUGGGAUACUUUUGCUUUUGAAGAAGUAACUUUCCACAGGCUUAUUCUUGAACUGGGCUGGAGGGUUUUCUGGUUUCCUCCAGAGUAUAAGGCCGACUGAAGAAUUUGAGUGUCAAAACAAGUCCAUCAAAUCUAUAGUACGUUCGACCCUGCUGAUAUGGGAUACUUUUGCUUUUGACAGAGUGGAUGUAUCGGCACGUGUGCUGUUACGCUUGUCUCCACAUGCUUCCUUGUAUCCUUCUCACUUGCCCUAUAUAUUUCUCAGGCAGAUGCGGUAUCUUCCCUGAAAGCAUAAGAUGUUGAAGAUGAGUACUCGAGAGCAAUGCCAGGUAAGUAAUCAAGUAAGGGGUUCCAGGCAGUCAGUUCCUGACUGGAAGCUUGAUUCCAAGUGCUGACUGAUUGCUCUCUUUCUCCUUGUCUUGUAAGUAAGAACAAGGCCAAAGGAAAAGACAGGGAAAAAACAUGAUAUGGGAUACUCUUGCUUUUAACCCUGAUGAUAUGAGAUAUUCUUGCUCUAGUAUAGCUUGUUUGCAGAGGUAUUAUCGGGGGGAAAGAAAGCUGAAUAUUUUCGAAAGGCUUCUUUGGGAGUGCCCUCUCAGAUAUGAGGAAGGGUUGAGCAUUUUUGCAGGUCUGCCUGUCUGUUGGGGAUGGAGGUCAACAUAUAUAGGAGUCUCCUUAACAACAAGUAGUAAUGCUAUUCCCUUACCCUGCUUGGUCAUAACACGGUAGUAGGAGCUGCCAGCUUCACAUGUUUUAACUUUGUCAGAGCACUUUGAAAAAGUGGUCUGUGGUAUCUGGAAAGCUGAUGUUGCGUGUAAAGAUUUCAGACAAGCUUUAUCCAAGGAGAUCCGGCUCUUGAAGUUGGGAAAGUAGUGCCUCUUCGGUUUUCGAACAAGCAAUCCUGUCGGAGAUCUGGCUCUCGAGAUUCGGAGAACGAUGCCUUUUCAAUUUUUGAGAAAGCCAUCUUGCUAGGGGUCUGGCUCUCGAGAUUCGGAGAACGGUGUCUCUUCGAUUUUUGAGAAAGUAAUCAUGUUGGGAGUCUGGCUCUCGAGAUUCGGAGGGCGGUGCCUCUUCGAUUUUGGAGCAAGCAGUCUUGUUGGGAGUGUUUUUCUCGAAUGUGAGAAAAAAGGUUGGGCAUGUUUGCUAGUCUAUCCUUGCCACGAAGCACAGAGGUUGACACACAGGGACUUUCCAAUUAUCCAGCAGUGGUACUGUUCCUUUACCCUUGUGGGUAAUAAUAUGGUAGCUAGACCUUCAAAAUUUAUGUGUCUCUAAACUUUGUUAGUGCUGUUUCUUUGCUAUUCUUUUACCCUUCUUGGUCAGAGCGGUGUAGUGGGAGCUGCAAGCUUCACGUGUCUCAACUUUGUCAGAGAACUUUGGCAAAGUUAUCUGUGGUACCCAUGAGCUAAUGUUGCGUGUGGGAAGUGGGUGAUUGAACAGUAAGAUUCAUGUGCUUUCUACUUCACCAGAAAUCUUCGACAUAAUGCCCAUAAUUUCCGCAAAGCUGACAGGUGCUGACAAGGCUGGAAAAGCAGGUGCCUCUUCGAUUUCUGAGAUCGGCCCUCGUGGUCUCUCUGAGCAGCCCAACUUUUUGAGAAAGCAAGCGCCUCUUCGAUUUCUGAGAUCGGCCUUCGUGGUCUUUGAGCAGCCCAACUUUUGAGAAAGCAAACGUCUCGUGGUCUCUGAGCAGCCCAGCUUUUGAGAAAGCAAACGCCUCUUCGAUUUCUGAAGCUCCGUGGAGUGCAGAUUUUUAUAAAGGCUGGCAUUAAGUUCCAAAGCACACUUGAAUCUCCACCAGUAGAAGCUCCAUUCUUGCACUUCUAAGAUCUUGAUUUGUCCGACCUCUUCUCUCUUCAACACCUUUGAAAAUGUCUGGCCCCUCCGACCGUCGUUUUGACUUGAACCUUGUUGAAGAGGCCGCCACGCCUUCUCCAGACAACAACAUAUGGCGCCCAUCCUUCGUCUCCCCUACUGGUCCUCUUUACUGUUGGGGAUUCUGUGAUGAAGAAUGAUAUGACCGCUGCGGUAGUGGCCAGGAACCUUCUCACUCCCAAAGAUAACAGACUACUUUCCAAACGGUCUGAUGAGUUGGCUGUUAAGGAUUCUCUGGCUCUCAGUGUUCAGUGUGCAGGUUCUGUGUCUAACAUGGCCCAACGCCUAUUUGCUCGAACCCGCCAAGUUGAAUCAUUGGCGGCUGAAGUGAUGAGUCUCAAACAGGAGAUUAGAGGGCUCAAGCAUGAGAAUAAACAGUUGCACCGGCUCGCACAUGACUAUGCUACAAACAUGAAGAGGAAGCUUGACCAGAUGAAGGAAUCUGAUGGUCAGGUUUUACUUGAUCAUCAGAGAUUUGUGGGUUUGUUCCAAAGGCAUUUAUUGCCUUCGUCUUCUGGGGCUGUACCGCGUAAUGAAGCUCCAAAUGAUCAACCUCUGCUGCCUCCUCCUUCUAGGGUUCUGUCCAGUACUGAGGCUCCAAAUGAUCCCCCUCCAGUGCCUGCUCUUUCUGGGGCUCUACCGACUACUGAGACUUCUCCUAAGCAACCUUUGUGAAGGCUCCCUCUUGUUUGUUUAUUUUGACUCAUGUAUAUGUACAUAUUUGUGACUUAUCAGGGAUAUCAAUAAAUAGCUUUCCUUCAUUUCAACGUAUUGUGUUGAAUACACCAAAGCCUUCUUCGCUAAGUUCUCUGAAUUUUCUUUUGUUGAAGCUUGUAUGUUGAAGCUUUGUGAGUGGAACAUGUAGGUUGAGGUAGUAUUCCCUUAAUUUCCCGAGUGAGGAAAACUUCUCGGUUGGAGACUUGGAAAAUCCAAGUCACUGAGUGGGAUCGGCUAUAUGAAUCUUUGAAUGCCAUUGUGCUCGGUCCUGUGUCAUGUCCUCCGUUAGAUCCAAGUACUCUAAGUCUUUUCUUAGAGUCUCUUCCAAAGUUUUCCUAGGUCUUCCUCUACCCCUUCGGCCCUGAACCUCUGUCCCAUAGUCGCAUCUUCUAAUCGGAGCGUCAGUAGGCCUUCUUUGCACAUGUCCAAACCACCGUAAUCGAUUUUCUCUCAUCUUUCCUUCAAUUUCGGCUACUCCUACUUUACCCCGGAUAUCCUCAUUCCUAAUCUUAUCCUUUCUUGUGUGCCCACACAUCCAACAAAGCAUCCUCAUCUCCGCUACACCCAUUUUGUGUACGUGUUGAUGCUUCACCGCCCAACAUUCACCGCCCAACAUAUCUGGACUUAAUUUUGCUGCCUUUAUAUUUGAAACUAUAACCACUUAAUAGUUCUAGCAAAACCGCAG
rnacentral:lncRNA from 1 species